CCUAAAUCAUUUUUCUCCCAAACACUCGUCUCCCUCUCCCUAUCUCUGUCUCGACCUACUCCUCUCCUUACUGUUCUGGAGCCGCACCCACCAUCAUCCGUCGUGGCACCACCAUCUUCUCAACCUAUUUCUCCCCUUAUUUCGACGACUUCAAAUGAUAGUAGCACCAGUAGGCAAUGAUGCUUACUACUCAAAGCGACGAAGCAAUAGCACCGCAACAAAAAUCUGGUUGCGUGCGGCGAUGCCUCACUGAGGACAGCACCGCCACGCACAGUGAGGCGGCGCUACUGCACAGUGAGGCCUCGGUGCUUUUUUUGGGAGUUUCUUUCUUGAAUCGAUCUACUAUAUGGGAGUUUUUUUUUUUUUUUGGCUGAUUUUCCAAUUAAAUUUAUUGCGAUGACUUGUUGGUAGCUAUGGUGGUGGUAAAAAUUGGCUAGGCUUUUGGUGGUGAUGCAAGUCACGGUAAUGUGGUAGUGUUGGUGGAUCUGGCCGUUUGGGGUUUGUUGAAUUUGUCCAGUGGCGAGAGCAAUGAUGGUUGUGUGUUAGUGUCGUUUUUUUUGUUGGUGGUGGUUGUGGGGAUAAUGUGGUGGAUGAAGGGGUGGGAUAAUGUUUGUGAUCGAUUAUUUGGUUUAUCUGAGACCAAGUAUUAGUGGUGGAUCGAAUUGGGGGUGGAAUGUUUGAUGUAUGUGACCAAACUAUUUGGUUGUGUGUUUUGCUGGUGGCAGUGGUGCUGGAUUUGGCGAUAAGGUUGGGAUAUGAUUGUGGUGCCAAUUUUGGGCUACAACGAUGAUGGUGAGGUUACAGUGGUGUGGUGCAAGCGACGGUUGUGUGGUGGUGAAUUGUGACAAAGAUUGGUGUUGGAUCAAGGCAGGUGGUGGGGGUGUUUGGUGCAUGUGACCAAUUAUUUGGACUAAUUAUUAAUCUGUGACCAAUAAAUUUGAAAAU
rnacentral:lncRNA from 1 species